GCGCUUGUGAUGGAAUUGGUAUACAAGUUGGUCUUAGAAGCCGAAUUUUGUGAGUUCGAAUCUCGCCGGGCGCACCA
rnacentral:tRNA from 3 species